UGAGGAAUAUUGGUCAAUGGGGGCAACCCUGAACCAGCCAAGUCGCGUGAAGGAUGAAGGUCUUAUGGAUUGUAAACUUCUUUUACACGGGAAUAAAGUGGGGGACGUGUCCCCCUUUGCAUGUACCGUGUGAAUAAGGAUCGGCUAACUCCGUGCCAGCAGCCGCGGUAAUACGGAGGAUCCGAGCGUUAUCCGGAUUUAUUGGGUUUAAAGGGUGCGUAGGCGGCGAUAUAAGUCAGUGGUGAAAUAUUUCGGCUUAACCGAGAGACUGCCAUUGAUACUGUGUUGCUAGAAUAUGGUUGCUGUGAGUGGAAUGUGUGGUGUAGCGGUGAAAUGCUUAGAUAUCACACAGAAUAUCGAUUGCGAAGGCAGCUCACAAAGCCAUUAUUGACGCUGAGGCACGAAAGUGUGGGGAUCAAACA
rnacentral:rRNA from 1 species